rnacentral:rRNA from 1 species
AACGAACGCUGGCGGCAUGCCUAACACAUGCAAGUCGAACGAAGCCUUCGGGCUUAGUGGCGCACGGGUGCGUAACGCGUGGGAAUCUGCCCUUGGGUUCGGAAUAACAGUUAGAAAUGACUGCUAAUACCGAAUGAUGUCUUCGGACCAAAGAUUUAUCGCCCAAGGAUGAGCCCGCGUCGGAUUAGCUAGUUGGUGAGGUAAAGGCUCACCAAGGCGACGAUCCGUAGCUGGUCUGAGAGGAUGAUCAGCCACACUGGGACUGAGACACGGCCCAGACUCCUACGGGAGGCAGCAGUGGGGAAUAUUGGACAAUGGGCGAAAGCCUGAUCCAGCAAUGCCGCGUGAGUGAUGAAGGCCUUAGGGUUGUAAAGCUCUUUUACCCGGGAUGAUAAUGACAGUACCGGGAGAAUAAGCCCCGGCUAACUCCGUGCCAGCAGCCGCGGUAU